rnacentral:rRNA from 1 species
AUUGAACGCUGGCGGCAUGCUUUACACAUGCAAGACGAACGGUAACAGGCCGCAAGGUGCUGACGAGCGGCGAACGGGUGAGUAAUGCAUCAGAACGUGCCCAGUCGUGGGGGAUAACUACUCGAAAGAGUAGCUAAUACCGCAUACGGUCUAUGGAUGAAAGCGGGGGACCGUAAGGCCUCGCGCGAUUGGAGCGGCCGAUGUCAGAUUAGGUAGUUGGUGGGGUAAAGGCUCACCAAGCCAACGAUCUGUAGCUGGUCUGAGAGGACGACCAGCCACACUGGGACUGAGACACGGCCCAGACUCCUACGGGAGGCAGCAGUGGGGAAUUUUGGACAAUGGGCGCAAGCCUGAUCCAGCAAUGCCGCGUGCAGGAAGAAGGCCUUCGGGUUGUAAACUGCUUUUGUACGGAACGAAACGGCUCUGGUUAAUACCCGGGGCUAAUGACGGUACCGUAAGAAUAAGCACCGGCUAACUACGUG